rnacentral:rRNA from 1 species
CGACGCCGCGUGGGUGAUUAAGGCCUUCGGGUUGUAAAGCCCUUUCGGCAGGGAAGAUUAUGACGGUACCUGCAAAAGAAGCUCCGGCUAACUUCGUGC